CCUACGGGUGGCAGCAGUGGGGAAUAUUGGACAAUGGGCGAAAGCCUGAUCCAGCCAUGCCGCGUGUGUGAAGAAGGCCUUCGGGUUGUAAAGCACUUUCAGUGGGGAAGAAAGCCUUGGGGCUAAUACCCUCGAGGAAGGACAUCACCCACAGAAGAAGCACCGGCUAACUCCGUGCCAGCAGCCGCGGUAAUACGGAGGGUGCGAGCGUUAAUCGGAAUUACUGGGCGUAAAGCGCGCGUAGGCGGUCUGAUAAGCCGGUUGUGAAAGCCCCGGGCUCAACCUGGGAACGGCAUCCGGAACUGUCAGGCUAGAGUGCAGGAGAGGAAGGUAGAAUUCCCGGUGUAGCGGUGAAAUGCGUAGAGAUCGGGAGGAAUACCAGUGGCGAAGGCGGCCUUCUGGACUGACACUGACACUGAGGUGCGAAAGCGUGGGUAGCAAACAGGAUUAGAUACCCUGUAGUC
rnacentral:rRNA from 1 species